rnacentral:lncRNA from 1 species
AGCCAGCGCUCCGCUCCUCCUCUUCCUGCUCCCCUCCUCCUCCUCGGGUCGGGCCGGAACCGGAACCGGAAGCGCGGCUGCGCGCACCCCGCGUCCUUUGCCCGUUGCGUCCCCCGGCGCGGCCUGGGGCCCUCGCGUUGGGUUCCGGUGCGGACGGCCGGCUGGUGCCGGAGGGCGGCCCGCAGAGCGGGGACUUUUGCUUUUAUUCUCGUUUAACUUAGCAGCCGCACGGCCGCCUCCCGGGGCCCGGGUCCGCGGGCUCCCUGGGCGCUGAGCGGACACCAGCCGAGCUGGGGCAAGUCGUAACUCCCGGGCAGCAAAGGAGGCGUCUACCCGACGCAGACUCCCUCUCUUUGGCGGAAAUGUGUGGCUUCUUCUCUAAAAUAAGAAUAAAAAUCAAAAUCAGGCAAGCCGGAUGUGCCGCCGUGGGCAUGACUGACGCAGGCCUGACUUUCCCGAGCGCCUCCCUUCCUGGCGGGGCGCGGAGGCCCCUCGGGAGGAGGGUUUCCUGGGAGACAGGAGCUGGGUCUGGGGGCCGGCCGUGGGCCCGCCGCCGCCGCGGGGUCACGCGGAGAAGGGGCGUCCGGGCCUCCGUCUGCGUCCACAGCUGCUCCAGGAAGGACGGGCCGGAAACCUCCAGAACCAGGGCGACGCGGCUCAGGGAUGGGGAGCGGGAGAGCACGAUGCGGAAACGUGCCCUUCCGGGGGAUCAGGAAGGGAAGAAAUCAAAGAAAUUCGAGAAAAUGAGCAGAACUAAGGGGCAUGGGCUUCUGGGUCAAAGGCUACAGAGCGCCUGGUACGUGAGUGAAAGUGGCCCGCAGAAACUUAGCCAACAGCGUGGGGUGUUGAAGACCCUAAACUGCCCACGGGACAUCGCACUCACACGUCCAAGAGAGUCGCUCCCACGACGUGAUCCACCUGAACUCAGGGCCUGAAUGUUGUGUCUCCGGCAUUCAUAGGUCGAAGCCCUAACCCCCAAUGUGAUGUGGGGACGCCAGCCACUACAUUGUGAGGACACUGGAGCAGCCUGUGGAGAUGUCAACGUGGGGAGGGACUGAGGCCUCCUGCCCACGGCCCUGUGAGGAGCCGCGUUGGAAUCAGCUCCUCCAUCCCCUGUGGAGCCUUCACAUGAAACACUGAAGCCCCUGUUCACGUGAGACCGGGAGCCAGGACCACCCAGCUGAGAUGCACCCAAAUUCCCAACACAGAACUGUGAGAUAAUAAAUAUUUGUUAUUUUAAGCCACUAAGUUUCAAGGUAAUUUGAACACAGCGACAGACAACUAAUACACGUCUUCUAUCAGUUACAGCUGUGUGAUAUUGGGUCCGUUAAUCUCUG